rnacentral:rRNA from 1 species
UACGUAGGGUGCGAGCGUUAAUCGGAAUUACUGGGCGUAAAGCGUGCGCAGGCGGUUUUGUAAGCCAGAUGUGAAAUCCCCGGGCUUAACCUGGGAAUGGCAUUUGGGACUGCAAGGCUCGAGUGCGGCAGAGGAGACUGGAAUUCCUGGUGUAGCAGUGAAAUGCGUAGAUAUCAGGAGGAACACCGGUGGCGAAGGCGGUUCUCUGGGCCUGACCUGACGCUGAGGAGCGAAAGCGUGGGGAGCGAACAGG